ensembl:lncRNA
CUGGAAAUAGCUGGACAACCGCACAGAAAUGAAACCAGUUCCUAGGAAUCCCCCAGCCUCAGCAACUCUCUUUAAAAAGGGUCCGUUGAGACCCCAGCUUGGCUGAGAAUUUGCCCCAGGAUCCCCUCUUGGCUGGAGGUAAUGGUGUAACAGAUGUGGCAUAAGCUUUCCAGAUUUCCCCUUCUAGCUGAAUUUCAAUCAGAAAAGAAAGACUUCCCUGCUCCCUAUUGAGGAGAACAUUCUAUUUUAAAAUUUUCAUGUGCUUUCAAAAUGACAAGACUCAGGCAUAUGCUACUGACUUGCUUUGUCUUCUAGACUAUAAUAGCCUCUAAGAAUCAAACGGAUGCAUUUAACACAUCUAACUGCAAUGACAGAAAAUGUGGAUUUGGAAUUAAGAAAAAGCACAUCCAUUUAUCAUUUGCUUUUUAAGAAUCUUUUUUAGGUGCUGAAGGGUUAGGUUGGCAGCAAAGUGACACUUCACUUCCCCAAAGCAUUCUUUUCUCAGCCCUCUGGAGGUGGCCCUAGAAUGUUCUCAGACCCUGGGAAACAAAAUCUGAAAGCGAAGAUGAGCUGCUUGUGCCCCGAUCUGACCUGAGAUAGCAUAGGGAGUUUUAUGAUGUUCUUGGUACUUGCGAAUCUGAAAUAUCUUCCGAGGAGCUGUGAUGCACACGGAACACUCACAAGGUUGGUGACUUCACUGGAGGGUUAGGCUUUGUAAAAUCUUCGUCCUUAAUGAACCCCCCCCUCCCCAUUUAUGAAAGGAAACCCCUGGCUUUAAAAGAGGAGCAAAUCCAGCCUCUCCUGUUUUGCAUCCCCACAAGCUCAAUGGGAAAACUGCAUUCUGAAUUGACCGCUGCAACUAGAACCAUCUAGAGAUUCCAUCUAGGUUGGGAAGAGUAAUGAAAGCCUGAAGCAUCCAGGGCCCUCCUGGAGCAGCAGAGGGGAGCUCAGACGCCGCGAUAAGAUUCUGGGAAGUGAAAUGGGCUCAAGAUCUCGACCACUAGAGAGCUCUCCAAGCAUGCCCUACCAGGACCUUUGUCACUGGUGAACUGUUUCCUCCCCAAGAUUCUUUCCAGCUGAGCUAAGAGAUUUCUGGAGCCUCUCGCCAUGGUCAGAACAUCUCUUGAAUGACCAGGAAAUGGGGCUUCCUGUUUAAAUCUCUCGGGCAGAGACAAGGCAGAUGAGCCUGCCUAAGUCUUUAGAAAGAGCUGUAGGGAAGGCCAGAGAUGGCUCAUCAUGCCAGGAUGUCCACUGUGGCCGCACCCAGUGUGCCAGAGGUCUAUGGCAGCGAUAGGGGUUACCUGGGAAUCUAGGGUUGGUAUUCGGUGUGAGUCUUGGUGAAAGUGCCCAGGGGAAAAGUUCCCCUGAAGACAGUGAGUCUAACAGUGGCCAAGUGGCACCUUCCUGCUGCCUGGCACACCUGUAAAGGUGAGCCAGGGUCACAGACAGGAGCUGGAGGAUGUCAGUCACAAACAAAUCAAAAUAGUGAAACAGAAAACAAGGGGCUGAUGCUGCACAGUUAAAACAUAUAUAUGUUAUAGAUCUUGAUAGAACUGGAAAGAAAAAAAAAAAAAAAAAA